rnacentral:lncRNA from 1 species
CUAGGCUCCGGACUCUGUAGGGCCGGCUGGCCACCGAGCCUGGCAGCGCCUGCCGGAGCCAACCUGCCCCCACCUCUCCCAGGGCCAUUCCAGGGGGAGAACCACCAGUGUCUCCUGAGAUCCAGACCAUGUUGGAACUUAGGACCCUGGAAAACCAAGCAAGUAGCUCACCUCCCUGGUAAGCAGCAGUUGUGUGGCAGACUGCGGCCCUUCCAGGGGGAGAACCACCAGUGUCUUCUGAGAUCCACACCAUGUUGGAACUUAGGAUGCUGGGAAACCAAGCAACCAGCCUGUCUCCCUGCUAGGCAAUAGGGAACCUACUGGUGCACGGCCUAGAGUCAAACAUCCCACUUCCCCUACUCCCCUUCCCCUGCCCCCCCCAUUAGCAAAUGGGAACCAGAAAUCUGAGAAUCCCUUGAGAGGUUGACCAUAGCAAAUAAGGGGGAUUUCCUUCUACCAUUUCUUUGAAGACAAAUAUUUUUAUUACUGUUUUGCUUUAUUCUGAUUAAUGGUACUGCUCUAUUCAAUAUUCUGCUUU